rnacentral:rRNA from 1 species
GACGAACGCUGGCGGCGUGCUUAACACAUGCAAGUCGAACGAAGAGCGAUGGAAGCUUGCUUCUAUCAAUCUUAGUGGCGAACGGGUGAGUAACGCGUAAUCAACCUGCCCUUCAGAGGGGGACAACAGUUGGAAACGACUGCUAAUACCGCAUACGAUCUAAUCUCGGCAUCGAGGAUGGAUGAAAGGUGGCCUCUACAUGUAAGCUAUCACUGAAGGAGGGGAUUGCGUCUGAUUAGCUAGUUGGAGGGGUAACGGCCCACCAAGGCGAUGAUCAGUAGCCGGUCUGAGAGGAUGAACGGCCACAUUGGGACUGAGACACGGCCCAGCCUCCUACGGGAGGCAGCAGUGGGGAAUCUUCCGCAAUGGACGAAAGUCUGACGGAGCAACGCCGCGUGAGUGAUGACGGCCUUCGGGUUGUAAAGCUCUGUUAAUCGGGACGAAAGGCCUUCUUGCGAAUAGUGAGAAGGAUUGACGGUACCGGAAUAGAAAGCCACGGCUAACUACGUG